CUGCUCCCAAACACAGAAGGUUUCCUGCUGCAGCAGCUUCCCCUGAGACGUCAGCUUCCCCUGGAGAACACCAGCAGGCAGUCAGAGGAAAAACCAGCUACAUUCAGCAUGCACCUCUGCCUCGCCGCAUGCUUCCUCAUCAGUCCAUCCAGAGGGAAUGGAGGAGCAGAAACAGCAGAACCAGCCGGACUCUGGGCUCAGUGGAACUGGUGAGGCGCUGGCAUGUGGAGGCAGAGGCAGUCCCCCAGGGGGCGUGGCCACAAGAUGUCCUGGAUGUUUCCGAACACAACGUCGUCCUUGUUGGUGAGUCCAGGUGGGAUUUCCUCCGAGCCGCUGGUCAUCUCCCACAGGUACGUCUGCAAUGGCAAAACGAGUCACUUCAGCU